rnacentral:rRNA from 1 species
AACGCAGCGAAGGGCGAUAAGUAGUGUGAAUUGCAGAAUUCAGUGAAUCAUCGAAUCUUUGAACGCACCUUGCGCCUUUUGGCAUUCCGAAAGGCACACCUGUUUGAGUGUCGUGUAACCCUCAACCUCACCCUUUGAAGGGCUGCAGGCUUGGAUGUUGAGUGUUGCUGCGGUAUGCAGCUCACUUUAAAUGCAUGAGCAUUCCCUUUACUGCUCGGAUUGACUCGGCGUAAUAACAUGUCCGUUGAGGAUGCCUAUCCGGCGGCCGGAAAGUAAGGGUGGCUACUAAUGGCUCUAGCGCGUUUGUACUUUAGACCUCAGAUCAGGUGGGACUACCCGCUGAACUUAA